rnacentral:lncRNA from 1 species
UUUUUUUUUUUUUUUUUUUUUUUUUUUAAAUGCUCAGAAGUGCUUAAUUUCCUUGGAUUAACCUUUAAAUUUGCUCAUCGUUUUUAACACGGCAUUUUUCUUCAGAUCAUGGAAUGAAUGAUAAAAUGAAGGUGUAGACAAACUUGGUUUGCUCUGCUUAUGUUGAUGUGUGGUAAUGUUUCUACUCUCUUUAUUCAGGUUUUUAAAGACUGGCCUUAAAACUUAAAAAAAUUCCUAGUUAUUAUUUAGUGUCAAAAAUGGGGGUGUAUAAUAACUAAUGCCCUAAAUAUUUGAUACAGUAUGGUAGUGUUUGCCUUUUCAACAUCACUUUUUUUUUUCUGUGAAGAAAAGUAUUAUAUUCAAAACUUCUAGCUUUAAGGAGAAUUUCUUUAUCAGUGUUUUAUUGCAGUUUAUUCAAGUGUACUAGUAUUUUGUGUCCUUAAAACUGACUUAAUCAGGAGUUUGAGCUAUUAUAGUUUUCAUAUGAAUCACAGCUACUGACAAUAUCCCAAAUAUUGAAGAAAUUAUAUUGUACUGAUGGCAUGUACAAAACAUUGACGUUAGAAAAACUAAUUUGUAGAAACAUAAAUUUAUCUCAUUUGCCUUAGAAAUAACCUUCCAGAUAUUUGUACCAUUUUCAUUUGAUUUAAUCCCCUGGGACAGAGGUACUUCAUUAGUAAAGUGUAAUAAUGUCAUUUGUGUUUUUUUAAAUGUUCUGAGAGUCAAUUGCUUACAUAUGAACUGAGAGAAAUAAAACAUUUGGUGCAUUGUUUAUAGGUGUGAAAACUUUGUGGGUUUGUGUUAAAUAUUCAGUAGCAUUUGCUCUUUACCUUUUAUGUUUUUCUUUUUUCCUCUUCCACUCCUAUAACAGUGAGGAGUUAGAUUAAUAGUUAUGGAGAGCUUUAAAAGAUACUAGGCAGGAAAAGGUUUUUCCUGGGGUGUGGAGCCCCUUUACCACACUGGAGAUCAGGGGUACAGAUCUUCAGUACUGAGAGGAUACAGAGAAUAGAUGUGAACGGGGGCCCACAGCUGCGCUUUAAUUUUAUGGGUGUGUUUGUGUUGAGGGUAUAGCUUCCACACUUUUUAUGACUCACUGACUGUGUGGCAAGGAUACUGGAGCAGGCCCACUCCUGGGAGGUAGCUUUGGCUUGAAGACUCCUCAAAGGCCCUGUAGAACCUUUCUUAGACUGCAUCACACCCAAUCUGUCUCUCUUUCUCCAUUUUUCUGUCUCUACCCUCCCUCGCCUCCCACUGGGUGCUCGGACUACAAGUUUGAAGGCUCUCCUGGUACUGGGUUAUCCAAUAGGAAGCACAGGUGCUUGCUGAAUAAUAUAGUGAAAUUUUAAAAAGAACAAAAGAUUCAAAGAUUCAUAAAAAUUUGAUCUGGGAGCAGUUUCUUAGUUUCAGGAUUUGGUAUUGUUUACAUUUUGAAAUAGUAUGAGGAAGGACACUGUCACCAUUUUGGUGCUUUGGGCCUCUAAGUAUAUUUAUCUGGUGCUACCUGGAAAUCUGUAUUUUUUUAAAGUUUUAUUUGUUAACUUACAAUAUUGUGUUCGUUUCAGGUGUACAGCAGAGUGAAUCAGUUACACAUGUAUAUGUAUCCAUUCAUUUUCAGAUUUCUUUCCCAUAUAGGUUAUUACAGAGUAUUGAGUCAUUUUCCCUAUGCUAUAAGUAGGUUCUUUUUUUUUUUUUUUUUUUUUUUUUUUUUUGUCUUUUGUCUUUUUUGUUGUUGUUGUUGUUGUUGUUAUUGUUGCUAUUUCUUGGGCCGCUCCCGCGGCAUAUGGAGGUUCCCAAGCUAGGGGUUGAAUCGGAGCUGUAGCCACUGGCCUACGCCAGAGCCACAGCAACGCGAGAUCCGAGCCGCGUCUGCAACCUACACCACAGCUCAUGGCAACGCCGGAUCGUUAACCCACUGAGCAGGGCAGGGAUUGAACCCGCAACCUCAUGGUUCCUAGUCGGAUUCGUUAACCACUGCGCCACGACAGGAACUCCUAAGUAGGUUCUUGUAUAGUAGUGUGCAUAUGUUAAUGCCAGCCUCUUAAUAUGUCACUCCCCCUGCCACUUCCUCUUUUGUAACCAUAAGUUUGGCUUUAAAAUCUUUGAGUCUCUUUCUAUUUUGUGAAUAAAUUCUUUUAUAUCCUUUUUUGUUAGAUUGCACAUAUUAGUGAUCUCAUAUUUGUGUUGCUCUGUCUGACUUCACUUAAUAUGACAAUAUCUAGGUCCAUCAUGUUCCUGCAAAUGGCAUUAUUUUGUUCUUUUAAUGGCUGAGUAAUAUUCCAUUGUAUAUAUGCACCACAUCUUCUUUAUCCAUUCCUUUGUUAAUGGACAUGUAGGUUGCUUCCAUGUCUUGGCUAUUGUAAAUAGUGCUACAGUGAACAUUGGGGUGCACAUAUCUUUUCUUUUCUUUCUUUCUUUCUCUUUUUUGUUUUUGUUUAUGUUUUUGUUUUUGUUUUUGUCUUUUUAGGGCCGCACCCAUGGCAUAUAGAGGUUUCCAGGCUAGGAGUCUAAUCUGAGGUGUAGCUGCUGGCCUAUGCCACAACCACAGCAACAUGGGAUCCAAGCAGAGUCUGCGACCUACACCAUGGCUCAUGGUAAUGCUGGAUCCUUAACCUACUAAGUGAGGUCAGGGAUCGAACCUGCAACCUCAUGGUUCCUAGUCGGAUUUAUUUCUGCUGUGCCAUGAUGGGAACUCCUAUCUUUUCAAAUUAUAGUUUUCUCUAGAUAUAUGCCCAGGACUAGGAUUGCUAGGUCAUAUGAUAGUUCUAUAUGCAGUUUUUUAAGGAGCUUCCAUACUGUUCUCCACAGUGGUUGUACCAAUUUACAUUCCCACCAACAGUGUAGGAGGGUUUCCUUUCCUCCACACUCUCUCCAGCUUUUAUUGUUUAUAGACUUUUUGGUCAUGUCCAUUCUGACUGGUAUGAGGUGAUACUUCAUUGUAGUUUGGAUUUGCAUUUCUCUAAUUAGUGAUGUUGAGCAUCUUUUCAUGUGCUUUUUGGCUGUCUGCAUGUUUUCUUUGGAGAAAUGUCUGUUUACAUCAUCUGACCAUUUUUGAUUGGGUUGUUUGGUUUUCUGAUAUAAAGCUGCAUGGGAUAUUCAUAUAUUUUGGAGAUUAAUCCCUUGUCAAUCACAUAAUUUGCAAAGAUUUUCUCCCUUUCUGUGGGUUGUGUUUCUUUUUUUAUGGUUUCCUUUGCUGUGGAAAAGUUUCUAAGUUUAAUUAGAGCCCAUUUAAAAAUUUUUGGCUACUCAUGUUUUCCUCUGAGAGUUUUACAGCAUCCAGCCUUAUGUUUAGGUCUUUGAUCAAUUUUGAGUUUAUUUUUGUGUAUGGUAUAAGAAAAUGUUCUAACUUCAUUCUUCUUUCUUCAUGUAGCUGUUCAGUUUUCCCAGCACCAAUUAUUGAAGAGAUUAUCUUAUCUCCAUUGUAUGUUCUUGCUUCUUUUGUCAUAGUUUAGUUGGCCAUAUGUGGGUGAGUUUAUAUCUGGGCUUUCUAUCCUGUUCCACUGAUCUACGUUUCUGUCUUUGUGCCAUUACUGUGCUGUUUUAAUGACUGUAGCUUUGUAGUAUAGUCUGAGGUUUGGAAGUGUGAUUCCUCCAGCUCUGCUUUUCUUUCUCAAGAUUGCUUUGGCUAUCUGGGAUCUUUUGUGUUUCCAUACAAAUUUAGAAAUUUUUUCUAGUUCUGUGAAAAAUGCCAUUGGUAAUUUAAUAGGGAUUGCACCGAAUCUGUAGAUUGUCUUGGGUAGUAUAGUCAUUUUGACAAUAUUAAUUCUUCCAAACCAGUGCUCUGUGUGUCUUGGGUAUAUAGUCAUUUUGACAAUAUUAAUUCUUCCAAACCAGUGCUCUGUGUGUCUUGGGUAGUAUAGUCAUUUUGACAAUAUUAAUUCUUCCAAACCAGUGCUCUGUGUAUAAAUAUAUUUAUUUACUUAUUUAUUUAUUGGUCUUUUUAGGGCCCCACCCUCAGCAUAUGGAGGUUUCCAGGCUAGGGUCAAAUUGGAGCUGCUGGCCUACACCACAGCCAUAGCCAUGCUAGAUCCGAGCUGCAUCUGUGACCUAUACUGCAGCUCAUGGCAACGCCAGAUCCUUAACCCACUGAGCGAAGCGAGGGAUCAAACCUGCGUCCUCAUGGAUCCUAGUCAGAUUUGUUUCCGCUGAGCCACAAUAGGAAGUCUCACAUAUUUCUAAGGUACAGUUAGGACUAAACAGUGAAUGCUCUGGAUUUAAAGUAGCUUAAAGAGCUUUGCAAAUAUCAAUGGAGGUUAAAAUAUGAAAUUGUGGUUACAAUUGUGAAAAAAAGAACCAUCUUUUUUUUUUUUUUUUCCAUUUUCCUUUUUAUAGCCUCACCCAUGGCAUAUGAAAGUUUCCAGGCUAGGAGUCGAAUCAGAGCUGUAGCUGCCUGCCUCCACCACAGCCACAGCAAUGUGGGAUCCAAGCCCAUAUCUGCAGCCUACACCACACCUCAGGGCAAUGCUGGAUCCCUGACCCACUGAGCAAGGCCAGGGAUCAAAACUGUAUUCUCAUGGAUACUACUUGUAUUCAUUUCCACUGAGCCACAAUGGGAAUGCCAAGAACUGUCUUUUUACUGGGGAUAAAAAGAAUAGGAAUCAGAGGUUACUCAUCAGAAUUACAAUUUGUCCUUGAGGGAAAGCCCUUUUGGUUGCAAAUCACUGUGAGAAUGACGACUAAUACUGAUGAGAGUGAGUUCUGGGCUAUGUGUGUGUUGGCUCUGAGGAGAAAUUAAGACUCCCUAGAAAAGAGGGAGCACAUUUUUCUUAGUAAUUGUUCCUAUAGUAGAAUUUAGGCUUAUUGUUCUUGAAUUUAUGCUUCACUUACAAGACUAUAUCAUUUCAAAUAUUCAACAUCGAGAAUCUCUUUGGGCUGAAAAAGACUUCAGAAAAGCUGUAACAUUUGAGCUUCACCAGAGGAUGCUGCUGCACAUCAGUUAAGCAAGCACUUAUUGAUGGUUUAAAUUAAGAAGCCAUACUCGAACAGGUACAUUUCCCUUCCCUAUGAAACUUAGAUUCUUAACCUACUUUGACGCUUCUGAUCAAAUCUUUCUUUCUACUUUCAGUUCUGGGUGAUUCACAUUUCAAAAGUAAUGGAAAAAAAAAAGGGGGGGGGCCUCAGUUAGAGGAUUAACAGAGUUAAUUUUUUCAUUGAAGACAUCCUGGAUUCUGCAGUCAUUUGAAUAUCAGUAUCUGUGUAAUAGAAGUAGUGGAUUUUUUUUUUUUUUCCUUAAACCAAGAUAAGGGAAGUCAUACUCCUGAGAGAUUCUGGAAUAGCUGUAAAGUCUGUGUGACAUUUUAAUAUACCUGGGAUUAUUAUAUAUCUGGAAUUAUUGGCCACAGAUACAUUGCAGGAAAUAAUCGCUUGCCCAUGUAAAAGAUUUGUAUGGUUAAAGUUUAGAGACCUAGAAAACUCCCCUUUGGAGCUGACUGCAAAUGAGCAGAGUGGAAAUCUUGCAUGACUAUUAUUGCAAUCCAGAUGGUGAAUAGAUACUAUUGAAAACAUUGUUUUGUAAGGGCCAUAACGACUCAGGCUGGUGAAUAAGAAUAUAUUGCCUAUUAUAUUUAAAAUUACUGACUCAAUCAAUUAAUGUUGAGUUAUAAUGCAGCUCUUUUGGAAACACCAACAAUGCUUACUUUUAUGUAAAAUGGAUUAAUUUUAAUUAGUAUUAUCACUCAGUUUUGGGAGAAAAUAAUUCCCUUGGGGGCCUUUGUUUUAGCCGUAAAUUCAUAGAAUUACAGUAGUCCAUGGUUGGAAGGUCCUUAUAUUGAGCAUAAAUCUGUUUCCUGUAGCUUCCAUCCAUUGAACUUAGUCCCAAUCCUUGGGGCCAUCCACAUAAGGAUGACUUUUUAUAUAGAUAAGGCCCAGUUAUUACUACUCUUUUAUUUCCUGGCUGAUGUCCUCAUGAGAUGCACUUCCCCCAGCAGCACAUUAUAAUAUUAAUGUCAAACUAUUAAUAAUAGUUCAGACAGAAGAAAUGUAGAUUUUUGUUUCCCAUGAGAGAAUAUUCAUUAAACAGUGGGAACUUCUGUUUUUCCAGUUGAAGACUUGGAAAGCCUUUACUCUGUCCAGUCACACAUAAGUAGAUGAAAACCUUCAACUAUGUACAUUCAAAAUUAAAGACAUAAUUCUAGCUAUAAAUCCAGUGGCUUUAAUUUAAAUACUAGAUACUGAGCUUACCCAGUAACUCCAUUUAUAUGUUAAAAGUAUUUAGAAGUCUCUUCUGUCACAGAUAUUUUAAGCCUUUCAUGAUGGAACCAUAGAAUCUUUAAGAAAUUAUAUAUACCAUCUUUUUGACCUUGGAUAAAACCAUGAUUCUUUUUAAAAAAUGACUUAAUGUAAAUGAAAGCCUAUGUGUGGAAACACUGAGUAACAGAAUUGAAGGCUGGCUUCAUCUCCUACCAUUCAUUCAGGAAAGGAUGUAAGUCUUCAAGUUCUCAUCUCUUUCUACCUAAACCAUCCUUGAUUGGACAUAUAAGUUCAGGUAAUCUUGAUGGCCCUCCACGAAACACAAUAAUUCAUCCAUGUCCCCCUCAGAUAUGGUACAUCAUCUGAGUGAGUGUUUCCAGAGACAACUUAGUGGUACUUAGAGUGGUACUUAGGUAAUCCCAUACUUUCUAUUACCUUUCUUGUCUUUUGUUUUUUGUUUUCCCCCUUUUACAGCCACAUCUAUUGCAUAUGGUAGUUCCCAGGCUAGGGGUAGAAUUGGAGCUGAGCCUAUGCCACAGCUGGAGCAAUGCUGUAUCCGAGCAGUAUCUUCCACCUACAAUGCAGCACAUGGUAACGCUGGAUCUUUAACCCACUGAGCAAGGCCAGGGAUCGAACCUGCGUCCUCAUGGAUGCUAGUCGGGUUCUUAACCUGCUGAGCCAAUUGGAAACACCUCUACUACCUUUCUAAUAGUAAUAAGUAUCCCAGACUAUUAAUUACUUAUAUAAAAUAAAAUGUCUCCUGUAUUAUAUUACUUUUCCUCAUGAUUAUAAAUGAUUAAUCUUAAUAACCUUUACCACACAAGAACAGUGCUGAGUUAUCUGUUUUAUUUCUUUUACUAAAAAUGAGAGUGAAUUUGUGUGGUACUGUAAGUCUAAAAAUCAAAAGACCCAGUGGAAAAAAAAAAUCCCUUUAUGUCUCUCAGCCUCAGUUUCUUCAUUUGAAAAUAUGACCUAUGGGCCAGAUAUGCCUUUAUUUGUUCUCUGUAUGGAUUUUACAGAUAUUGACAAAGUGAUGGGUUUUAUUGUUGUUAGUUUGAAGUGUGAGGUGUGUCUUUUUAGGGCUGUACCCGCAACAUAUGGAGGUUCCCAGCCAGGAGUCAAAUCGGAGCUGUAGCUGCCAGCCUAUACCACAGCAACCUGGGAUCCGAGCUGCAUUGGUGACAUACACCACAGUUAACAGCAAUGCCAGACCCUUAACACACUGAGUAAGGCCAGGAAUCAAACCCAUGUCCUCAUGGAUACUAGUCAGGUUUGUUAACCACUGAGCCACGAAUUCCUAAAUAUAUAUUUUUAAUGAUGAGUGAAUUUUUUUUUAACCAUAAAGCUUUUUAAUUUAUUUUUUGUUUGUUUGUUUUUGUUUUUUUGUUUUUGUUUUUCUGUCUUUUUGCCUUUUCUAGAGCCGCACCUGUGGCAUAUGCAGGUUCCCAGGCUAGGGGUCUAAUCCGAGCUGCAGCCGCCAGCCUACGCCAGAGCCACAGCAAUGCGGGAUCCAAGCUGUGUCUGUGACCUACACCACAGCUCAUGGAAACACCAGAUCCUUAACCCACUGAGCAAGGCCAGGGAUCGAACCCGAGACCUCAUGGUUCCUAGUUGGAUUUGUUAAUCACUGAGCCAUGACGGGAACUCCCAAACUACAAAGCUUUUACCAGAACAAGAGGAGGUGAGAGAUCAUGUUGCUCUAGUCCUUGUGUGUGAGAACAGUCUGGAUGUGGAGAGGGCAGGUAAUGCAGUGGUAACAGAGAGCCCCUGGGAUGGUCUGUGAAGAGGAAUGGCCUAGUCUCAAGCCAGGAUGUUGCUCCAAAAGGGGAAUCCUGACCUUAUUUCUCACAGGUAUACCCUUAGCAGUGCCAUUGAGCUGUCUGAGGACCACACUGUAUAAUGCAGUCAUUGCUCCCACCAACAAACUGAGGCUCUCUGUAAGAUGACACUGCAGUGGACUGAAUGUUUAAGUUCAAUCUUCAAAACUCAAAUAUUGAAAUUGUAACCCCUAAGGUGAUGGUCUUAGGAGUUGAGACCUUUGGAAAGUAAUUAGGUUAUGAGGGUGAGGCUUUCACAAAUGAGAUUUGUACCCUUAAGAAAGAGACCCCAAGAGAUUCCUUGCCUGCUUCUUCCACUCAAGGACCCGCAAGAAGGUACUAUCGUCUCUGUGAGGAAGUGGGCUCUCACCAGAAACAAAUCUGCUGACACUAUGAUCUUGGACUUUCCAGACUCUAAAACUAUGAGAAAAAGCUUUUUGCUUAUAAGCCACCCAGUUUAUGGUAUUUUUGUUAUAGCAAUGUAAUGGACUAAGACAAUCACACACUCAGAAGACUCUCCUGUUGCCCAGCCCUGUCAUCUGAAAUUUUGUUGGAGUCCUUGGUUUGGAUAAAGGAUUGCAAAUAUUACCCAUGUGGAUUAAUUUGCAUGAGUUAAUUUAUCAAAUCAGCAAAAGGGUAGGAUUAAAUUACCGAGAAAUUAGAAAAUGAAAUACUCAAUAAAAAUAUUAAAUGGAUAUGCUUAAAAAGAAAGGUUAAAAACAAGAUAUGUUGGAGUUCCCUGGUGGCUCAGCAGGUUAAGGAUCCAGCAUUCUCACUGCUGUGGCUUGGGUCACUGCUGUGGUGUGGGUUUAAUCCCUGGCCUGGGAAUUUCUGCAUGCCAUGGGUGCAGCCGAAAUAAACAAUCCCAAGAUACUACUAAAAAAAAAAAA